GACGACGCUGGCGGCGUGGAUUAGGCAUGCAAGUCGAACGGUAUCAUCCUUUCGGGGGUGAGAGAGUGGCGAACUGGUGAGUAACACGUAGGUUAUCUACCCUCAAGACGGGGACAACCCAGGGAAAACUUGGGCUAAUACCGGAUGUGAGCAACUUUUAGUUGUUUGAAAGGUGGCGUAAGCUGUCGCUUGGGGAUGAGCCUGCGUCCUAUUAGUUAGUUGGUGAGGUAACGGCUCACCUAGGCAAUGAUAGGUAGGCGGCCUUAACGGGUGGUCGCCCACACUGGGAUUGAGAUACGGCCCAGACUCCUACGGGAGGCAGCAGUCGAGAAUAGUCUACAAUGGUCGGAAGACUGAUAGCGCGACGCCGCGUGAACGAUGAAUCCCUUCGGGGUGUAAAGUUCUUUUAUAUGUGAGCAGUGCUUCUUAUAUUAACAGUAUGGGGAGAGAGAUAUUAGCAUAUGAAUAAGCAACGGCUAACUCCGUG
rnacentral:rRNA from 1 species